CUUAAGAUAGGCAAGUCGUGGGGCAGCAGGACGGUAGCAACAGACGUUGCUGGCGACCGGCAAACGGGUGCGGAACACGUACACAACCUUCCUUUAAGUGGGGAAUAGGCCGGGGAAACCCGGGUUAACAGACCCGUAACCAAAUAGAAGUGGCAUCGCUUUUAUAUUAUAGCUCCGGCGCUUAGAAUGGGUGUGCGGCUGAUUAGAUAGUUGGCGGGGUAACGGCAAACAGUCGACGAUCAGUAACUGGUGUGAGAGCACGACCAGUCACACGGGCACUGAGACACGGGCCCGACUCCUACGGGAGGCAGCAGUAAGGAAUAUUGGUCAAUGGACGCAAGUCUGAACCAGCCAUGCCGCGUGGAGGAUGAAGGUCCUCUGGAUUGUAAAUUUCUUUUAUUUGGGAAGAAAUCUAUCUUUUCUUGGAUAGUUGACGGUACCAGAUGAAUAAGCACCGGCUAACUCCGUGCCAGCAGCCGCGGUAACAGAGGAGGGUGCAAGCGUUAUCCGGAUUCACUGGGUUUAAAGGGUGCGUAGGUGGGCAGGUAAGUCAGUGGUGAAAUCUCCGGGCUUAACCCGGAAAUUGCACGGGGACAGAUAUUUGUCUUGAAUAUCCUGGAGGUGAGCGGAAUAUGUCAUGUAGCGGUGAAAUGCUUAGAUAUGACAUAGAACACCACGGGGCCAUGGCAGCUCGCUCAGGGAUGAUUGACACUGAGGCACCAUAGCGUGGGGAUCAAACAGGAUUAGAU
rnacentral:rRNA from 1 species